ensembl:lincRNA
GUAGCCAUUUCCUUCUGCAGGGGAUCUUCCUGACCUAGGGAUCAAGCCCGUAUUUCCUGCACUGGCAGGCGGAUUCUUUACCGCUGAGCCACCAACUGAUCACAGACCUCAAUAUACACAUGCUAAAGUAGACUUCAUAUCUGAACCGGAUCUGAGGACCCCCCAAAAUGCUUAGGGGUGGAAAAAGAAACCACCAAAUCCUUUCUGAUAUCUGUGACAUCAUCUAGAACAGUGAAGAGAUCUGAAUCUGAAAGACUCAGAAGACCAGGUUUCUCCCUCCUACAUUUUCCUCCUCCUGAAAACUUGAGCAAACCUCUUAACCUCAUGAAGCCUCGAUGUCUUCAUCUGUCAUCCUGAAGUAACACAUGUACUAGAUAGGGCUAGGCAUGUUUAGACAUCCCACCUGUUUUAAUCUCUAUAACAAGCCAGGAAUAUAGGCAUCUGAUUUCCAUUUUAAAGAGGAGGAAACUGAAGUCCAGAGAGUUUAACUAAUUUUCCCACUUUACCACAGCUGGUAAGCAGCAGAGGUGGGAUUCAGAGAUUCAAGCCCCCAGUUCCAGAGAUUUCACUUAUUCCUUCAUUUAUUGCUUCAUUCCAAAAAGUUACUGAGCAUCUACUACACACCAGGGCAGCAGAGGGUGAGGUUGGACAGCCCUCACCGAUUCAAUGAUCAUGAACUUGAGUGAACUCCAGGAGACAGGUGAGGGGCAGGGAGGCCUGGCCGUGCUGCAGUCCAUGGGCUCACAGAGUCGGACGCGACCUAGCGACUCAACAACAACAGCACACACCAGACACGCCUCUCGAUGCCGGGGACACAGCAGUCCCUAACACAGACAAACAUCGCCCUGUUCAGAGCACUUAGAUUUCCACUCGGUCAGGCUGUCCUUCUAAAACUGGUCGCACAAAGGAACGGGGGCAACAGGACCGCAGUGGCCCAGAUCAGCCCCUUGGCACGCACACCGUCUUCAGAAGGAGGGCGCAGGAAGACUCGCGGGAAGACGCUAGCCCCGCCCACAGGCGAAAGGUGGAGCCAGGUGAAAAUCCACUGGGAAAGGGACAAAGGAGAGCAGCCUCAUCAACCCCUAGAAGCCCAGGAAACGCUCGCUCACAGUGCACUCCUGAAUGAUAACCACGGUGGAGCGGCAGGCCGGGUGCGCUGAAAGGAAGGACCGCAGAAACAAACACGUGUAUGCAUGCAAAGUCACUUCAUUGUGUCUGACUCUGCGUCGCUAUGGUCUGUAGCCCACCAGUCUCCUCUGCCCAUGGGAUUCUCCAGGCAAGAAUACUGGGAAGCGUUGCCGUGCCCUCCUCCAGGGGAGCUUCCUGACCCAGGGAUCGAAUCUGUGUCUCCUAUGUCUCCUGCAUUGGCAGGUAGGUUCCUACCACUAGCACCACCUGGGAAGCCCAGAAACAAACACAACUGGAUACAAACCCCACCCUGUCCCUCAUAAGGUCUGCGACCUUGGACAAUCUCCUUACCUUUUCUAAGACUUAAAAGGAGGGUGGGCCGUGGCCAAUUCAUGUCAAUGUAUGGCAAAACCAAUUACAGUAUUGUAAAGUAAAAUAAAGUAAAAAUAAAAAUUUAAAAUUUAAAAAAAUAAAAGGAGGGUGGGGACCUCCCUGAUGAUCCAGUGGUUAAGACACCACACUUCCCUGUGGGUUCCAUCCCUAGUCAGGGAACUAAGAUCCCACAUGCUGCGCAGCACAGCCAAAAAUAAGAAAAGGAAGAAAAUAAGUGAAAUAAAAGGAGAGUGAUAACAGUACCCACUUCACAGAGUUGUUAGGAAAAUUGAGAAAGCUCAGACAUGCAAAGUAUGUAACACAGUGCCUGGCACAUAGAGAACACUCAAUAUAUGCUGCAUGCCAUGUGUGUUGAUUGCAUGUGUGACUAGCAUGAUCAGUUACCAUGAACUUUGUAGUCUAAACAAUGUAUGUAUUGUGGUUGUGGGGGUUAGAAGUCUGACAAUGGGCUGUAGUCAAGAUGUCUACAGGGCUGCUUUUCUUUAUGGACUCAAGGGGAGAAUCCAUUUUCCUGGUUGUUCCAGCUUCUGGAAGCCCCGUGUAUUCUUAGUAUCCUUAAUCAUGUAUUUUAAAUCAUGGCCCUUGUUUCCAUCUUCAAAGCCAGCGAUGUUGCCUCUCUCUGACCAUUCCUCCCCGUCACAUCUAUCCCUGACCGUAGUCAAAAGAGGUUCUCCAGUUUUAAGGAUUAUGUGAUUACCUUGGGCCCACUUGGAUAUUGGGGGAUAAUCUCCGCAUCUCAAGGUUAUUAACCUUAAUCACAUCUGCAAAUUCCCUUUUGUCCUGUAAAGUAACAUAUCCACAAGUUCUAAGGCUUAGGACAUGGACCUCUUUAGAGGGUCAUUCUUCUGCCUACCAUGCAUGUUUAUAUUACCUGCAAAGUUUUUUGAUAAAAAAAUGAAUUUGAAGUUAUUCCUCAUAACCUUAUAUAUCGAUUCUUCUUUUCUUCCUGUGUCUUCUCCCACUUUCUUGUAUGUUUUAGCAAAUGAGUUUCCCACAAUAUCAAGUAUACAUCGAUUUUACAGUUACUUGAGAGUUUUGGGAGCCCCCAAACCCCCUGACUUUUGGAGACUCCCCCAUCCAACAUCAUGAAACCACAUUCAAAUAAAUCCACAUCCUACACUGAGUAGGAUUUUUCUAUAACUAUAGGAGUUGACUUGGA